rnacentral:rRNA from 1 species
AUUGAACGCUGGCGGCAGGCUUAACACAUGCAAGUCGAACGAGUGGCGGACGGGUGAGUAAUGUCUGGGAAACUGGCUGAUGGAGGGGGAUAACUACUGGAAACGGUAGCUAAUACCGCAUACCAUAGGAUGUGCCCAAAUGGGAUUAGGUAGUGGGUGGGGUAAAGGCUCACCAAGACGACGAUCCCUAGCUGGUCUGAGAGGAUGACCAGCCACACUGGGACUGAGACACGGCCCAGACUCCUACGGGAGGCAGCAGUGGGGAAUAUUGCGCAAUGGGGGCAACCCUGACGCAGCCAUGCCGCGUGAAUGAAGAAGGCCUUCGGGUUGUAAAGUUCUUUCGGUAGGGAGGCGUUAACUACAGAAGAAGCACCGGCUAACUCCGUGCCAGCAGCCGCGGUAAUAC